AUACGGAGGGUGCAAGCGUUAAUCGGAAUUACUGGGCGCAAAGCGUGCGUAGGUGGUUUGUUAAGUCAGAUGUAAAAGCCCCGGGCUCAACCUGGGAACUGCAUUUGAAGCUGGCAUACUAGAGUAUAGGAGAGGAAAGUGGAAUUUCAGGUGUAGCGGUGAAAUGCGUAGAUAUCUGAAGGAACAUCAAUGGCGAAGGCAGCUUUCUGGACUAAUACUGACACUGAGGUACGAAAGCGUGGGUAGCAAACAGGAUUAGAAACCCUAGUAGUCC
rnacentral:rRNA from 1 species